rnacentral:rRNA from 1 species
GACGAACGCUGGCGGCGUGCUUAACACAUGCAAGUCGAACGGAAACGCCCUGCUUUGGUGGGGUGCGCGAGUGGCGAACGGGUGAGUAACACUUGAGUAACCUACCCUUGACUGUGGGAUAACUUCAGGACACUUGGUCUAAUACCGGAUAGGAGCUCCUGCUGCAUGGUGGGGGUUGGAAGGUUUAGGUGGUUGGGGAUGGACUCGCGGCUUAUCAGCUUGUUGCUGGGGUAGUGGCAUACCAUGGCUUGGCCGGGUGGCAGUCCUGCGAGGGUGACCGGCCACAUUGGGAUUGGGAUACGGCACAGCCUACUACGGGAGGCAGCAGUGGAGAAUAUUGCACAAUGGGAGGAAGGCUGAUGCAGCAACGCAGCGUGCGGGAUGACGGCAAUCGGGUUGUAAAGCGCUUUCGCCUGUGACGAAGCGUGAGUGACGGUAAUGGGUAAAGAAGCACCGGCUAACUACGUG